GGUGACAGACACAGCAACACAUCAUCGAACGUCGGAAGUUCGCUGCCUCAACUGUUUCCAGAUGGCGAAGCUGAUGCAGCAUGUCAAAGUGAAAAGCUCCCAGGAACACGUAGGCAACGCUGUACUUCAUCUGCACGUUGUCAAGAAUGUUAUCCAGAAGCGUAUACGAAGAGGGGAGUCAAGUCCUGUA